UCCACGUAAGGGCAAACCAAUCGAAAGAUUGGGACGCAAAGCUUCAAGGCUUCGCCUUCUUGGGUGGGACGGGAGGGCAUGCCGGUUGGGCCGCCUGG
rnacentral:ncRNA from 1 species